rnacentral:rRNA from 1 species
UACGUAGGGUGCAAGCGUUAAUCGGAAUUACUGGGCGUAAAGCGCGCAGGCGGUCGUUCAAGUCGAGUGUGAAAGCCCCCGGCUCAACUGGGGAGGGUCAUUCGAAACUGGUCGACUCGAAGGCAGGAGAGGGUAGUGGAAUUCCCGGUGUAGUGGUGAAAUGCGUAGAUAUCGGGAGGAACACCAGUGGCGAAGGCGACUACCUGGCCUGUUCUUGACGCUGAGGCGCGAAAGCUAGGGGAGCAAACGGG